rnacentral:rRNA from 1 species
ACGAUGGCUAAUACCGCAUGAUGCUACGGGCCAAAGAGGGGGACUUCGGGCCUCUCGCGUCAGGAUAUGCCUAGGUGGGAUUAGCUAGUUGGUGAGGUAAGGGCUCACCAAGGCGACGAUCCCUAGCUGGUCUGAGAGGAUGAUCAGCCACACUGGAACUGAGACACGGUCCAGACUCUACGGGAGGCAGCAGUGGGGAAUAUUGCACAAUGGGCGCAAGCCUGAUGCAGCCAUGCCGCGUGUGUGAAGAAGGCUUCGGGUUGUAAAGCACUUUCAGUCGUGAGGAAGGUUUAUKCGUUAAUAGCGUAUAKAUUUGACGUUAGCGACAGAAGAAGCACCGGCUAACUCCGUGCCAGCAGCCGCGGUAAUACGGAGGGUGCGAGCGUUAAUCGGAAUUACUGGGCGUAAAGCGCAUGCAGGUGGUUUGUUAAGUCAGAUGUGAAAGCCCGGGGCUCAACCUCGGAAUAGCAUUUGAAACUGGCAGACUAGAGUACUGUAGAGGGGGGUAGAAUUUCAGGUGUAGCGGUGAAAUGCGUAGAGAUCUGAAGGAAUACCGGUGGCGAAGGCGGCCCCCUGGACAGAUACGACACUCAGA